AGCGAACGCUGGCGGCAGGCCUAACACAUGCAAGUCGAACGAUCCUUCGGGAUAGUGGCGGACGGGUGAGUAACACGUGGGAACGUGCCUUUUGGUUCGGAACAACUCAGGGAAACUUGAGCUAAUACCGGAUGUGCCCUUCGGGGGAAAGAUUUAUCGCCAUUAGAGCGGCCCGCGUCUGAUUAGCUAGUUGGUGGGGUAAAGGCCUACCAAGGCGACGAUCAGUAGCUGGUCUGAGAGGAUGAUCAGCCACAUUGGGACUGAGACACGGCCCAAACUCCUACGGGAGGCAGCAGUGGGGAAUCUUGCGCAAUGGGCGAAAGCCUGACGCAGCCAUGCCGCGUGAAUGAUGAAGGUCUUAGGAUUGUAAAAUUCUUUCACCGGGGACGAUAAUGGCGGUACCCGGAGAAGAAGCCCCGGCUAACUUCGUGCCAGCCGCCGCGGUAA
rnacentral:rRNA from 1 species